AUAGUAUUCCAUGGUGUACAUAUACCACAAUUUGUUAAUCCAUUCGUGGAUCGAUGGCGGCCUUCAGACAUAUGAAAAAAUGCUCAUCAGGCGGCGCCUGUGGCUCAUAGGAUACUGCUGGAUAUAAGCUGGAGAUGUGGUGAACUGCCGGAUGUACACUAUAAGAAAGGCGAUGUGAGGAUUCAGAUCACCCUGGAGAGGAUUACUCGCUGAACGUGCACCAACAGAAAGGAGAGGCGAGGAGUCGGAUCACCCUGGAGAGGAUUACUCUCUGGAUGUUAGAUUUGCAUGAAGUCGACGUGAGCACUCGGAUCACCCAGGAGAGGAUUGCUUGCUGGAUGUACACUAGCACAAGGGCGAGGAUACUGCUGGAUAUAAGCUGGAGAUGUGGCGAACUGCCGGAUGUACACUAUCAGAAAGGCGAUGUGAGGUCUCGGAUCACCCUGGAGAGGAUUACUGGCUGAACAUGCACUAACAGAAAGGAGAGGCAAGGACUCGGAUCACCCUGGAGAGGAUUACUCGCUGAACGUUCACUAACAGAAAGGAGAGGUGAGGACUCGGAUCACCCUGAGAAGAUUACUCGCUGCAAGUGCACUAACAGAAAGGAAAGGUGAAGACUCUGAUCACCCUGAGAAGAUUACUCGCUUUAAGAGCACUAACAGAAGGGAAAGGUGAGGACUCAGAUCACCCUGGGGAGGAUUACUCCCUUGAUGUUAGGCUUGCAAAAGUCGAAGUGAGGACUUGGAUCAUCAAGGACAGGAUUACUACCUGGAUUUACAACAGGAAGGCGACGUGAGGACUCAGAUCACCCAGGCGAGGAUUACUUGCUGGAUGUACACUAGCACAAGGGCGAGGUUUGGGAGAGGAGUGCUGAAUGGAUGGACACUAGCAGAAAGGAAGGUUGAAGACGCGGAUGCACUGGGAUAAAUGUGCUGUAUGCCUGCACACAGAAAUGGGAUUUUGUUAUGUGGCUCCAAAGCAUACCGUGUGAAACAUGUUGGAAUAGGUCAGCAAACCUACUCUCACUGAAAUCGUGCACGCUAUAGCAAUACAGUUUGCACAGCGGCUUAGGAGGACAUGGGUAUUGAUGUUCCCGCAGCUGUAAGGUUGAUAGAGUUGCAUGUAUGAUGAAAACAAGUAUUCUCUGGUAGAUUUUGCACUGAAGAAAUAUGCUGAAGUUUCUCUAAGGAGGAACUUCCAGAUGAAACUUCUGGGGUGCAAAAGGUUGUGGAAAUUGGGAAACUUCUUUCCCGGGUAGCUCUGAAACCAUUAUGAGAGGAGAAAACAGUUGUUUGCCGCCACAGGCGUUCUGCCGGAUAUCUGCAUUAGCGUGGCUGAACCCCUGUGUCACUGACAUCAUGCUCGUUGUGCCAUGGCUUUUGACACCUUCAAUUACAUUGGUGAGAGAAUGGCACUCAGUAGUGAUUUUCAGAGCGUUACAUGUACGAUAAGUACAAGUAUUCUGCGAAAUACAUUGCACUUUGAAACAUGUGGAAGGUUUUAUAAAGAAAGUACCUAUGAACCGUCUAGGAAACCAGGUCUUGUGGGAUUUUGAAAAAGGCAUACAUGUUUAGUAGCUCUUAAUAGCAUGACUUAAGAGAAGAAAAUGCUUUUCUCUCCCAGUAGGAAACUGCUGUCUAUAAGCUGGAGCAGUGGCAAACUGAGGCAUGUACACUAUCAGAAAGCAAUGUUAGGACCCAGAUCACCCUGGAGAGGAUUACUCCCUGAGAGUGCACUAAGAGAAAGGAGGGGCGAGGACUUGGAUCACCCUGGAGAGGAUUACUCACCUGAUGUUAUACUUGCAGAACGUUGAGGUGAGGACUUGGAUCAUCCUGGAGAGGAUUACUCUCUGGAUGUUAGAUUUGCAUGAUAGAAAUUAUUCCUUGCAUCUUCUCAGAUGAUCAUGGAAUAAAAGUGGAACUCAGUAACAACAGGAACCUGCAUACUAAUACAAAAACAUGGAAGCUGAAAAACCUCAUGCUGAACGAUAGCUGGAUCAUAGAAGAGAAUAAGAAGAAAAUAAAUUUUUGGAAGAAAACGACAAUGAAGACACAGAUUGUCAGAACCUCUGGGAUACCACAAAGGUCGUCCUAAGAGGGAAAUUUAUAGCACUGCAAGCCUUCCUCAAGAGAACAGAAAGAGAGGAAGUUAACAACUUAAUGGGACAUUUCAAGCAAUUAAAAAAGGAAGAACAUUCCAAUCCCAAACCCAGCAGAAGAAAAGAAAUAACAAAAAUUAGAGCAGAAUUAAAUGAAAUUGAAAAUAAAAGAAUUAUACAACAGAUCAAUAAAUCAAAAAGUUGGUUUUUUGAAAAGGUCAAUAAAACAGAUAAAGCUUUAGCUAACCUAACCAGGAAAAAAAGAGUAAAAUCUCUAAUUUCAUCAAUCAGAAAUGGUAAAGACGAAAUAACAACAGACUCCUCAGAAAUUCAAAAAAUCCUUAAUGAAUAGUAUAAGAAACUUUAUUCUCAGAAAUAUGAAAAUCUGAAGGAAAUUGACCAAUACUUGGAAGUACAUCACCUUCCAAGACUUAGCCAGAAUCAAGUGGAAAUGUGAACAGGCCUAUAUCAAGUUCUGAAAUAGCAUCAACCAUACAAAAUCUCCCUAAAAAGAAAAGCCUGGGACCAGAUGGCUUCACGUCAGAAUUCUACCAAACCUUUAAAGAGGAACUAGUACUUAUAUUACUCAACCUGUUCCAAAGUAUACAAAAAGAAGGAAUAUUACCCAACACGUUCUAUGAAGCAAACAUCACCCUGAUCCCCAAACCAGGAAAAGACCCAACAAGAUAAGAAAAUUAUAGACCAAUAUCACUAAUGAAUAUAGAAGCAAAAAUAUUCAACAAGAUCCUAACAAACAGAAUCCAGCAACACAUCAAACAAAUUAUACAUCAUGACCAAAUCGGUUUUAUCCCAGGGUCUCAAGGCUGGUUCAAUAUACGUAAAUCUAUAAAUGUAAUCCACACAAACAAAUUAAGAAACAAAGACCAUAUGAUUCUCUCAAUCGAUGAAGAGAAAGCUUUUGAUAAUAUCCAGCAUCCCUUCAUAAUCAGAACGCUUAAGAAAAUCAGUAUAGAAGGGACAUUUCUUAAACUGAUAGACAUCUGCAGCAAACCCACAGCCAAUAUCAUAUUGAAUGGAGUUAAAUUGGAAUCAUUUCCACUCAGAUCAAGAACCAGACAAGGCUGCCCAUUGUCUCCAUUGCUUUUCAACAUUGUAAUGGAAGUUUUAGCCACUGCAAUUAGGGAAGAAAAGGUGAUCAAGGGUAUCCAUGUAGGGUCAGAAGAGAUCAAACUUUCGUUCUUUGCAGAUGAUAUGAUAGUAUAUCUGGAAAACUCUUAGAAGUGAUCAGGGAAUACAGCAGCGUCUCAGGUUACAAAAUCAACAUUCAUAAAUUGGUAGCCUUUAUAUAUACCAACAAUAGUCAAGUUGAAAAAACAGUUAAGGACUCUAUCCCAUUCACAGUAGUGCCAACGAAGAUGAAAUAUUUGGGAAUUUAUCUAACAAAGGACGUGAAAGAUCUCUAUAAAGAGAACUAUGAAACUCUAAGAAAAGAAAUAGCUGAAGAUGUUAACAAAUGGAAAAACAUACCAUGCUCAUGGCUGGGAAAAAUCAGCAUUGUAAAAAUGUCUAUACUACCCAAAGCAAUAUACAAUUUUAAUUCAAUCCCUAUUAAAGCUCCAUUGUCAUACUUUAAAGAUCUUGAAAAAAUACUUCGUUUUAUAUGGAAUCAGAAAAAAGCUUGAAUAGCCAAGACAUUACUUAGAAAUAAAAACAAAGCAGGAGGAAUUACGCUACCAGAUCUCAGACUAUACUAUAAAUCGAUAGUGAUCAGAACAGCAUGGUACUGGCACAAAAACAGAGAGGUAGAUAUAUGGAACAGAAUAGAGAGCUAAGAAAUAAACCCAGCUACUUAUCGUUAUUUGAUAUUUGACAAGCCAAUUAAAAACGUUCAAUGGGGAAAAGAUUCCCUAUUAUCAAAUGGUGCUGGGUGAACUUGCGACCUGUAGAAGACUGAAACUAGACCGACACCUUUCACCUUUAACUAAGAUAGACUCUCACUGGAUUAAAGAUUUAAACUGAAGACAUGAAACUAUAAAAAUACUAGAAGAAAGCACAGGGAAAACUCUUGAAGGAAUUGGCCUCAGCAUGUAUUUUUUGAGGAGGACCCCCACCCAGGGCAAUUGAAGCUGCAUCAAAAAUACACUACUGGGACUUGAUGAAACUAAAAAGUUUCUGCACAGCGAAGAACAUAGUAAGUAGAUCAAGCAGACAGCCUUCAGAAUGGGAGAAGAUAUUUGCAGGAUAUGUCUCCAACAAAGGUUUAAUAACCAGAAUCCACAGUGAACUCAAACAUAUUAACAAGAAAAGAACAAGUGAUCCCAUCUCAGGUUGGGCAGGGGACUUAAAGAGAAACUUCUCUGUAGGCAGGCGCAUAGCCUACAGACACAUGAAAAAUGCUCAUCAUCCUUAACCAUCAGAGAAAUGCAAAUCACAACUACUUUGAGAUAUCAUCUAACCCUAUUAAGAUUAGCCCACAUCACAAAAUCCCAAAACCACCAUGUUGGUGCAGAUGUGGAGAAAAGGGAACACUUCUGCACUGCUGAUGGGAAUGCAAACUAAUACGGUCCUUUUGGAAAGAUGUUUGGUGAGUACUUAGAGAUCUAAAAGUAGAUCUGCCAUUCAAGCCUAUAAUUCUUCUACUAGGUAUAUAUCCAGAAGACCAAAAAUCGCACUUGAACAAAGAUAUUUGUACCAGAAUGUUUAUUGCAGCCCAAUUCAUAAUUGCUACGUCAUGGAAAAAACCCAAGUGCCCAACAACUCAUGAAUGGACUAAUAAAUUGUGGUAUUUGUACACCAUGGAAUAUUAUGCAGCCAUAAAGAAAGAUGGAGACUUUACCUCGUUCAUGUUUACAUGGAUUGGAUGGAGCUGGAAAAUAUUCUUCUUAGCAAGGUUUCCAAAGAAUGGAAGAAAAAGUACCCAAUGUACUCAGCCCUAAUAUGAAACUAAUUUAUAGCUUUCAUUCGAAGUCUAUAACCCAAUGUCAGUGCAAGAAUAUGGGGAAGGGGGCAAGGGAGGGGAAGAGAGUGGGAGGAAGGGUGGAGGAAGGGUGAUUGGUGGGUCCACACCUAGGGUGCAUCUUGGAAGGGUACAGGUGAAGUUUACUAAGUGUAGAGUAUAAGGAUUUGAACACAAUAAUUAAAAUGCCAUGAAGGCUAUGUUAACCAGUUCAGUGAAAAUAUUUCAGACUGUAUAUGGA